rnacentral:rRNA from 1 species
AGAGUUUGAUCAUGGCUCAGGAUGAACGCUGGCGGCGUGCCUAACACAUGCAAGUCGAACGGAGUAAUUUCUUCGGAGGUUACUUAGUGGCGGACGGGUGAGUAACGCGUGGGUAAUCUGCCUUACACAGGGGGACAACAGUUGGAAACGACUGCUAAUACCGCAUAAGCCGGUAGCGCCGCAUGGCGCAUCCGGAAAAGAUUCAUCGGUGUAAGAUGAGCCCGCGUCUGAUUAGUUAGUUGGCGGGGUAACGGCCCACCAAGACGACGAUCAGUAGCCGACCUGAGAGGGUGAUCGGCCACAUUGGGACUGAGAUACGGCCCAGACUCCUACGGGAGGCAGCAGUGGGGAAUAUUGGGCAAUGGAGGAAACUCUUACCCAGCAAUGCCGCGUGAAUGAAGAAGGUCGUAAGAUUGUAAAGUUCUUUAGUCAGGGAUUAAUAAAUGAAAGAUCUGAAGAAUAAGCUCCGGCUAACUACGUGCCAGCAGCCGCGGUAAUACGUAGGGAGCAAGCGUUGUCCGGAAUGACUGGGCGUAAAGGGUGUGUAGGUGGUUUGGCAAGUUAGAAGUGUAAUACCUGGGCUUAACUCAGGUGCUGCUUUUAAAACUGUUAGACUUGAGUGCAGUAGAGGUUAGUGGAAUUCCUAGUGUAGCGGUGGAAUGCGUAGAUAUUAGGAGGAACACCAGAGGCGAAGGCGGCUAACUGGACUGUAACUGACACUGAGACACGAAAGUGUGGGGAGCAAACAGGAUUAGAUACCCUGGUAGUCCACACUGUAAACGAUGGAUACUAGUUGUAGGGAGAUCGACGCUCUCUGCGACGCAGUUAACACGAUAAGUAUCCCGCCUGGGGAGUACGGCCGCAAGGUUGAAACUCAAAGGAAUUGACGGGGACCCGCACAAGCAGCGGAGCAUGUGGUUUAAUUCGAAGCAACGCGAAGAACCUUACCAAGACUUGACAUCGUAUGACCACUAUAGAGAUAUAGUCUUCUCUUCGGAGACAUAUAGACAGGUGGUGCAUGGUUGUCGUCAGCUCGUGUCGUGAGAUGUUAGGUUAAGUCCUGCAACGAGCGCAACCCUUAUGGCUAGUUGCCAAUAUUUAGUUAGGAACUCUAGUCAGACUGCCGAGGUUAACUCGGAGGAAGGUGGGGAUGACGUCAAAUCAGCACGGCCCUUACGUCCGGGGCUACACACGUGUUACAAUGGGUGGUACAGAGAGUCGAGUGCCGGCAACGUCACUCCAAUCCAUAAAGCCAUCCUCAGUUCGGAUUGGGGUCUGCAACCCGACCCCAUGAAGCUGGAUUCGCUAGUAAUCGCGCAUCAGCCAUGGCGCGGUGAAUACGUUCCCGGGCCUUGUACACACCGCCCGUCAAGCCAUGAAAGCCGGGGGCGCCUGAAGUCCGUGACCGCGAGGGUCGGCCUAGGGUGAAACCGGUGAUUGGGGCUAAGUCGUAACAAGGUAGAGCC